AAUUUGCGAAUGUGAAGGGCUUUGGAUUGGUUAGUUAGAUAACUCCGCCUACUGUUUCUCCUGUUUUGAAGUUAAUCUAUCUUAAGAUAGAGCCAAAGUGGAAGAGAGAUCCUUAGCGACACAUUUGCUCAUUUCUAUUUUUGUUCAACCAAUUCAGAUUUGAUCAUGGAUUUCAAGAAAAAAUGGCUGUCUGAGGUGAAAAACAUCCUAAAAACCAGCCCACUGGCAGCUACUGUGGGUUUUGGAUUAAUUCAGUUAAUAUUGGAGAAAUUAAUAGAACUAGAGUUUGCAUGUCCUUGCGAUCCUAAAUACAACUGGGUGUAUACGUCACCCUUCUUUAUUGUGCCCUCAUUAAUAGUCUUCUUGCUAAUGUGUGUCGCUAAAUUUCCAUGUGAUCUUCAAUGCAAAUCCUUCUUUGAGGCCCUGAGUAGCGUCGUCGUUUCGGCUACAAUAUGGGCAGUUAUAGUGUUCAUUGAUGGUCGUUACUGGGCAUGUCUCAAGACAAAUUGGUCAGGAAAGUAUGAAAUGAUUGAUAAUGCUGCACCUCAGAAAUGGUGUAAACCAGCCAACUCAUCUCAGGUGUUACUGAACAAAACCCAGUUAUGGUAUUCCCAAUCGCAAUACAUUGGACUCUUGACAGCGUUGGGGUUGGUUGUUUUUUAUCUCAUAUGUUAUCUCAUCGCCUUGAAAUGUGCUGAAGAAGAAAAUGAAACUUCAAGAAAUGAAGAGUAUAGGCAGGUCAAUGCUGUUCUCUAGACUGAACCAACGAUCUGUGACAAAAUGAGAAAAAUAAUUGUACAUAUUGGUUUAUGCAUUAAAAUAAUGGAUGUUAGGGCAUGUUUGGUUAUAAAGUCUUAUUUUAGUUAUAUUCUAAAGAUGUUAUACAUAAAAAAUGCUAUAAAUAAAAAUUUGCUAUUUUCACAAGCAUUAUAUUUGAUAUCUAGCCAUUUUAGGAUCAACUGUAUUUU